GACGAACGCUGGCGGCGUGCUUAACACAUGCAAGUCGAACGGAAAGGCCCUGCUUUUGUGGUGUGCUCGAGUGGCGAACGUGUGAGUAACACGUGAGUACCCUGCCCUUCACUUUGGUAUAACUUCAGGACACUGUGUCUUAUACCGGAUAGGCGCUCCUGCUUCAUGGUGGUGGUUAGAUAGUUUCGGCUGUUGGGGAUGGACUCGCGGUUUAUCAGCUUGUUGGUGGGUUAGUUGCUUAACAAGGCUGUGACGGCUAGCCUGCGUGAGAGUGUGACCGGACACAGUGGGACAGAGAUAGGGCAGAGACUCAUGGGGGAGGGAGGAGUGGGGAAUAGUGCAAAAUGGGCGGAAGCCAGAUGGAGCAACGGCGUGGGCGGGAUGAGGGCUUUCGGGGUGUAAACCGCUUGCGACUGUGAAGAAGCGUGAGUGACGGUAAUGGGUAAAGAAGCACCGGCUAACUACGUG
rnacentral:rRNA from 1 species